GACCCACUAGUCAAGAGGUUAAGACAUGAUACUUUCACUAUCAUAUCCUGGGUUCAAUCCCCAGGUGGGUUA
rnacentral:tRNA from 1 species